rnacentral:rRNA from 1 species
UACGAAGGGGGCUAGCGUUGCUCGGAAUCACUGGGCGUAAAGGGUGCUUAGGCGGGUCUUUAAGUCAGGGGGGAAAUCCUGGAGCUCAACUCCAGAACUGCCUUUGAUACUGAAGAUCUUGAGUUCGGGAGAGGUGAGUGGAACUGCGAGUGUAGAGGUGAAAUUCGUAGAUAUUCGCAAGAACACCAGUGGCGAAGGCGGCUCACUGGCCCGAUACUGACGCUGAGGCACGAAAGCGUGGGGAGCAAACAGG